rnacentral:hammerhead_ribozyme from 1 species
GUACUGCUAACGAGUGCCACAAUAGGACGAAACGGCCGUCCAGUGC